UGAUUCCUACGGGAGGCAGCAGUGAGGAAUAUUGGUCAAUGGUCGGGAUACUGAACCAGCCAAGCCGCGUGAGGGAUGAAGGUACAGAGUAUCGUAAACCUCUUUUGUCAGGGAACAAAGGCGGGGACGCGUCCCCGGAUGAGUGUAUCUGAAGAAAAAGCAUCGGCUAACUCCGUGCCAGCAGCCGCGGUAAUACGGAGGAUGCGAGCGUUAUCCGGAUUUAUUGGGUUUAAAGGGUGCGCAGGCGGUCUGUUAAGUCAGCGGUCAAAGCGCGGGGCUCAACCCCGGCCCGCCGUUGAAACUGG
rnacentral:rRNA from 1 species